rnacentral:rRNA from 1 species
UACAGAGGUCCCAAGCGUUGUUCGGAUUUACUGGGCGUAAAGCGCGCGCAGGCGGCACUCUAAGUACGUCGUGAAAUAUCCCGGCUCAACCGGGAGGGUGCGAUGUAGACUAGGGAGCUAGAGGUAGGUAGGGGAGAAUGGAAUUCCCGGUGUAGCGGUGAAAUGCGCAGAUAUCGGGAGGAACACCGGUGGCGAAGGCGGUUCUCUGGGCCUUACCUGACGCUGAGGAGCGAAAGCGUGGGGAGCGAACAGG